rnacentral:RNase_P_RNA from 4 species
AAAGCAAGCCGUUCUAUCGCUGUCCCGCAUUUGCUGGAGAGAGGAAAGUCCGGGCAACACAGAGCAUCCUGCUUCUUAACGGGAAGGCUUCACGUAAGUGGAGACGGAAAGUGCCACAGAAAAUAUACUACCCCUUAACUUAGGUUUUGGGGAAAAGGUGAAAACGUGAGGUAAGAGCUCACGGUAUUGUAUGGUGACAUACAGUGCGGUAAACCCCAGGAGUUGAAAGACCAAAUAGGUUCCGGACGUGAAGCUGCUCGCUUCCUUAUCCCGUACGUGCGGGAUUAUACGGAAUGGGUAGGUCGUUAGAUCUCGCAAGCAAUUGCGCGACCAGAUAAAUGAUAGAUACCGCCCUAGGCGGAUACAGAACCCGGCUUACAGGCUUGCAUUUUUU